ACUAAGCGUACACGGUGGAUGCCCUGGCAGUCAGAGGCGAUGAAGGACGUGCUAAUCUGCGAAAAGCGUCGGUAAGGUGAUAUGAACCGUUAUAACCGGCGAUGUCCGAAUGGGGAAACCCAGUGUGUUCCGACACACUAUCAUUAACUGAAUCCAUAGGUUAAUGAGGCGAACCGGGGGAACUGAAACAUCUAAGUACCCCGAGGAAAAGAAAUCAACCGAGAUUCCCCAGUAGCGGCGAGCGAACGGGGAGGAGCCCAGAGCCUGAAUCAGUGUGUGUGUUAGUGGAAGCGUCUGGAAAGGCGCGCGAUACAGGGUGACAGCCCCGUACACAAAAAUGCACAUGCUGUGAGCUCGAUGAGUAGGGCGGGACACGUGGUAUCCUGUCUGAAUAUGGGGGGACCAUCCUCCAAGGCUAAAUACUCCUGACUGACCGAUAGUGAACCAGUACCGUGAGGGAAAGGCGAAAAGAACCCCGGCGAGGGGAGUGAAAAAGAACCUGAAACCGUGUACGUACAAGCAGUGGGAGCCCUGAUUUAUCAGGGUGACUGCGUACCUUUUGUAUAAUGGGUCAGCGACUUAUAUUCUGUAGCAAGGUUAACCGAAUAGGGGAGCCGGAGGGAAACCGAGUCUUAACUGGGCGUUAAGUUGCAGGGUAUAGACCCGAAACCCGGUGAUCUAGCCAUGGGCAGGUUGAAGGUUGGGUAACACUAACUGGAGGACCGAACCGACUAAUGUUGAAAAAUUAGCGGAUGACUUGUGGCUGGGGGUGAAAGGCCAAUCAAACCGGGAGAUAGCUGGUUCUCCCCGAAAGCUAUUUAGGUAGCGCCUCGUGAAUUCAUCUCCGGGGGUAGAGCACUGUUUCGGCAAGGGGGUCAUCCCGACUUACCAACCCGAUGCAAACUGCGAAUACCGGAGAAUGUUAUCACGGGAGACACACGGCGGGUGCUAACGUCCGUCGUGAAGAGGGAAACAACCCAGACCGCCAGCUAAGGUCCCAAAGUCAUGGUUAAGUGGGAAACGAUGUGGGAAGGCCCAGACAGCCAGGAUGUUGGCUUAGAAGCAGCCAUCAUUUAAAGAAAGCGUAAUAGCUCACUGGUCGAGUCGGCCUGCGCGGAAGAUGUAACGGGGCUAAACCAUGCACCGAAGCUGCGGCAGCGACGCUGAUGCGUUGUUGGGUAGGGGAGCGUUCUGUAAGCCUGUGAAGGUGUGCUGUGAGGCAUGCUGGAGGUAUCAGAAGUGCGAAUGCUGACAUAAGUAACGAUAAAGCGGGUGAAAAGCCCGCUCGCCGGAAGACCAAGGGUUCCUGUCCAACGUUAAUCGGGGCAGGGUGAGUCGACCCCUAAGGCGAGGCCGAAAGGCGUAGUCGAUGGGAAACAGGUUAAUAUUCCUGUACUUGGUGUUACUGCGAAGGGGGACGGAGAAGGCUAUGUUGGCCGGGCGACGGUUGUCCCGGUUUAAGCGUGUAGGCUGGUUUUCCAGGCAAAUCCGGAAAAUCAAGGCUGAGGCGUGAUGACGAGGCACUACGGUGCUGAAGCAACAAAUGCCCUGCUUCCAGGAAAAGCCUCUAAGCAUCAGGUAACAUCAAAUCGUACCCCAAACCGACACAGGUGGUCAGGUAGAGAAUACCAAGGCGCUUGAGAGAACUCGGGUGAAGGAACUAGGCAAAAUGGUGCCGUAACUUCGGGAGAAGGCACGCUGAUAUGUAGGUGAAGCGACUUGCUCGUGGAGCUGAAAUCAGUCGAAGAUACCAGCUGGCUGCAACUGUUUAUUAAAAACACAGCACUGUGCAAACACGAAAGUGGACGUAUACGGUGUGACGCCUGCCCGGUGCCGGAAGGUUAAUUGAUGGGGUCAGCGCAAGCGAAGCUCUUGAUCGAAGCCCCGGUAAACGGCGGCCGUAACUAUAACGGUCCUAAGGUAGCGAAAUUCCUUGUCGGGUAAGUUCCGACCUGCACGAAUGGCGUAAUGAUGGCCAGGCUGUCUCCACCCGAGACUCAGUGAAAUUGAACUCGCUGUGAAGAUGCAGUGUACCCGCGGCAAGACGGAAAGACCCCGUGAACCUUUACUAUAGCUUGACACUGAACACUGGUCCUUGAUGUGUAGGAUAGGUGGGAGGCUUUGAAGUGUGGACGCCAGUCUGCAUGGAGCCGUCCUUGAAAUACCACCCUUUAAUGGCUGGUGUUCUAACGUUGGCCCCUUACCGGGGUUGCGGACAGUGUCUGGUGGGUAGUUUGACUGGGGCGGUCUCCUCCUAAAGAGUAACGGAGGAGCACGAAGGUUGGCUAAUCCUGGUCGGACAUCAGGAGGUUAGUGCAAUGGCAUAAGCCAGCUUGACUGCGAGCGUGACGGCGCGAGCAGGUGCGAAAGCAGGUCAUAGUGAUCCGGUGGUUCUGAAUGGAAGGGCCAUCGCUCAACGGAUAAAAGGUACUCCGGGGAUAACAGGCUGAUACCGCCCAAGAGUUCAUAUCGACGGCGGUGUUUGGCACCUCGAUGUCGGCUCAUCACAUCCUGGGGCUGAAGUAGGUCCCAAGGGUAUGGCUGUUCGCCAUUUAAAGUGGUACGCGAGCUGGGUUUAGAACGUCGUGAGACAGUUCGGUCCCUAUCUGCCGUGGGCGCUGGAGAACUGAGGGGGGCUGCUCCUAGUACGAGAGGACCGGAGUGGACGCAUCACUGGUGUUCGGGUUGUCAUGCCAAUGGCACUGCCCGGUAGCUAAAUGCGGAAGAGAUAAGUGCUGAAAGCAUCUAAGCACGAAACUUGCCCCGAGAUGAGUUCUCCCUGAGACUUUAAGUCUCCUGAAGGAACGUUGAAGACGACGACGUUGAUAGGCCGGGUGUGUAAGCGCAGCGAUGCGUUGAGCUAACCGGUACUAAUGAACCGUGAGGCUUAACC
rnacentral:rRNA from 1 species